ACACCAGCCAUGACAGGAUCAAUGCCGUGUGGCUGGAUUGUGACUUCGCAGCAGCCUCUCUCUACGUCUCUCCAACCACAGCCAUAGGAAAGGACACAGGGAAAUUGAAAAGCUGUUUGCUCCUAACCGUGCUUUUAUGGACUGAAUUUGGGAGCUGCCAGAGCAACACGUCUUUGGUUAUUGCAGCACAUUUUCAUUACUGAAGCAGAGAAGAAACCAACCUAAGGAAUUGGGCAGGCCACCAGGGAUAUACACAAAGUGCUCUCACCUCCUGGGGCAUCACCAAAAAGAGACUUUAGUCGCUGGAUCAAAGGCUAUUGGGAACAUUUCACUCAGGAUGAAUUAUCUUGAAAACACCACCUGGAGUAGCCCCAAAUAAGCAGAUGCUUUGGAGCUCCUGGAUGCUGAGUGGUGGCACAGAUUCCCAUCCUGGGGCUCCGUGUCACCAUCCAAUGUCUGGUAACCCCAUCCAUUCCCUUUGUAUCUUCCACAAAGACUUCAGAUCCUCACACUUCAGGCCUUCCAAAAGCUUCUCAAUUGAAGGCCCAAUAGUCUAAGAUCUGAAUAUUGAAUUGCCUUUGCUGGAAAGACAACUGUCUUUGUUUACUGCUUUCUCAAGCAAUUCCUGGCUGUUUAUGCCACCUGAGAUUCUACAUAGUUCUCUCUGGCCUUGUGUUCCAACAUCUAUUAUAUUAGGUACUGUGCCUCUCCUGUUUUUCUUUCCAUUGUGCUAGGGAAGAAUUAAAGGGUCCUUUGAGCCCUCAAGACAGUGAUGUGUAUAGUAUUCAUUGUGUAACAUCUUAUUUGAUUUUUUUUUUUCUUUGAGGUGGAGUCUUGCUCUGUUGCCCAGGCUGGAGAGCAGUGGCGCCAUCUGGGCCCAUUGCAAGCUCCACCUCCUGGGUUCACGCCAUUCUCCUGCCUCAGCCUCCCAAGUAGCUGAGACUACAGGCGCCUGCCACCACGCCCAGCUAAUUUUUUGUAUUUUUAGUAGAGACGGGGUUUCACCGUGUUAGCCAGGAUGGUCUCGAUAUCCUGACCUCGUGAUCCACCCGCCUCAGCCUCCCAAAGUGCUGGGAUUACAGCCGUGAGCCACUGCACCUGGCCCUUGGUUGAAUUUUUAUCCUUACAGUAUUUCCCCUUGACUGGUUACGUUGUGGGUAAUCUUCAACCAAACCUGUUACAGUUUAAUUUUAGCUAAAUAAAUAGUUCCUACUAUUUAGUAAAUAUAUGUAAGUUUAGACAAUUUGUUCUUAUUUCUGUGAGUAGAUUCCCCCCCACUGUAAAUUAGCUUAAUCCUAAUUAAUCUUAAUUAACAUUACUCAGGUUCGUAUUAUAGCAAUAAAAUACAUCAUAAGCACCA
ensembl:lncRNA novel transcript